rnacentral:lncRNA from 1 species
UUUCUGUUUAUAGGAAGUCCUGGCUGAGCAAGGUUGGGAGUCCUAGUUCUCGCAUCGACCGGGCCGACUUUUCUAACGAAAAAACAAUCUCUAAACUGGAAUACUCUAAUUUUAGUAUUCGAUAUUAAUAAAAGAAAGAGAUCAAUUGCAAUGCUUAUAUUAUAGAAGAUAAAACAUAUUCUUAGGUUUAUAAUAGUAGGCGAGUAGGAUUAAAAAUGGAAAGUUUUUGUUCUGGAAUUAUACAUUACUGAAAUUUCUGAAACUGAAAAACUUUACUCACCUAUGUUUUAGCAAGCAGAAACUAAAUAUUAUAAAAUAAAAUGUCAUUAUAAAUUAUCUAGUAUGAACAUUCAAGUUAAAUAUUGUCUUAUGGAGUCAUUCAUUUCAGAAAAUAUUACAGUAUUUGUUACUUUAUAUUACAUUAUAUAUGUUAUUUGGCUAGACAUAAAAUAAAAUUAACUAUGUAAAAUUACCUAUGGAUACUGUUGCCUAAUUGACUUUUAAAGUCCUCUGAAUAAUAACUUACUAUUAAGGUUGAGCGAUUAGCCUUAAAAAUUGUUAAAAUAAAUUCGUGUGAUGAUCACCAUAACCAGAAAGUACUAGCAAUAGACAGUUAGUGUGUAAACUUCUCCUUAAACUCAAGCCUGGUUCAGUACAAAGUUGGACUUACUUACUAUCCUUGACUUAAUUGUUCUGUAGUUUGAAGAGUGUUGUUGUAAAAAUAUAAAAAAUAAAAGAGUAUUGGUGUCUUUUA